CCAUACCACCCUGAACGCACCCGAUCUCGUUUGAUCUCGGAAGCUAAGCAGGGUUGGGCCUGGUUAGUACUUGGAUGGGAGACAUCUUGUCAUAUUUUAGCAUGGC
rnacentral:rRNA from 1 species